rnacentral:tRNA from 1 species
GAAUGGGUGGGGCAGGAGUUGAAGCGCACCCGCGAGCGCGCCGAGGCGCUCGAGGUCUCCGAGGGCUCCCUGAGCGAGUCGGAGCCCACUCC